UACGGGGGGGGCAAGCGUUGUUCGGAAUUACUGGGCGUAAAGGGCUCGUAGGCGGCCAACUAAGUCGGAUGUGAAAUCCCCAGGCUUAACCUGGGAACUGCAUCCGAUACUGGAUGGCUUGAAUCCGGGAGAGGGAUGCGGAAUUCCAGGUGUAGCGGUGAAAUGCGUAGAUAUCAGGAGGAACACCGGUGGUGUAGACGGCUUCUGGACCGUAACUGACGCUGAGACACGAAAGCGUGGGUAGCAAACAGG
rnacentral:rRNA from 1 species